rnacentral:rRNA from 1 species
UUCAGAGGUCCCGAGCGUUGUUCGGAUUUACUGGGCGUAAAGGGAGCGUAGACGGUUCGGUAUGUCGAAUGUGAAAGCCCACAACUCAACUGUGGAAAUGCAUUCGAAACUGCCGGGCUAGAGUACUGGAGAGGAGAGCGGAAUUCUUGGUGUAGCGGUGAAAUGCGUAGAUAUCAAGAGGAACACCGGUGGCGAAGGCGGCUCUCUGGACAGAUACUGACGCUGAGGCUCUAAAAGUUAGGGGAGCAAACAGGAUUAGAUACCCCUGUA